rnacentral:ncRNA from 1 species
CUUGGCACCAGGCGCCGAUGAAGGACGUGGGAGGCCGCGAUAGUCCACGGGGAGUUGUCAACCGAGCUUUGAUCCGUGGGUGUCCGAAUGGGGAAACCUAGCCCGAGUUGUGUCGGGUUGCCGCUGCCUGAAUGUAUAGGGUAGUUGGUGGUGACGCGGGGAAGUGAAACAUCUCAGUACCCGUAGGAAGAGUAAACAACAGUGAUUCCCCUAGUAGUGGUGAGCGAACGGGGAAGAGGCUAAACCGUGCGCGUGUGAUAGACGGCAGUCGUUGCGUGUGCGGGGUUGUGGGGUGCAUCUGUUCGGGUCUGCCGGCCCGGAGCGCUGAUGGUUCUUCUAGCUGAAUCCGUUGGGAAGCGGUACCGGAGUGGGUGAGAGUCCCGUAGGUGAAGGAAGAGUCUAGGUGUUGAUGUUCUCCCGAGUAGCGCGGAGCCCGAGGAAUUCCGUGUGAAUCUGGCAGGACCACCUGCUAAGCCAAAAUACGUCCUGGUGACCGAUAGUGCACUAGUACCGUGAGGGAAAGGUGAAAAGUGCCCCGGUGAGGGGUCGUGAAAUAGUACCUGAAACCGUGUGCUGUCAAGCCGUCAGAGCCUGUCUUUGUGGUGGGUGAUGGCGUGCCUUUUGAAGAAUGAGCCUGCGAGUCAUGGUGUGUGGCGAGGUUAACCCGGGUGGGGUAGCCGUAGGGAAACCGAGUCUGAAGAGGGCGUUGGAGUCGCAUGCUGUGGACCCGAAGCGGAGUGAUCUACCCAUGUCCAGGGUGAAGCGGGGGUAAGACCUCGUGGAGGCCCGAACCCACCAGGGUUGAAAACCUGGGGGAUGAGGUGUGGGUAGGGGUGAAAGGCCAAUCAAACUCCGUGAUAGCUGGUUCUCCCCGAAAUGCAUUUAGGUGCAGCGUCGCGUGUUUCUUGCUGGAGGUAGAGCUACUGUUUGGCUGAUGGGCCCGACAAGGUUACUGACGUCAGACAAACUCCGAAUGCCGGUUAAGUGAAGCGUGGCAGUGAGACUGCGGGGGAUAAGCUUCGUAGUCGAGAGGGAAACAGCCCAGAUCAUCAGCUAAGGCCCCUAAGCGUGUGCUAAGUGGGAAAGGUUGUGGAGUUGCUGAGACAACCAGGAGGUUGGCUUAGAAGCAGCCAUCCUUUAAAGAGUGCGUAAUAGCUCACUGGUCAAGUGGUUCUGCGCCGAUAAUGUAGCGGGGCUUAAGCACACCGCCGAAGCUGUGGAGCCCGGGUUUGUGCCCGGGUUGGUAGGGGAGCGUCGUGCAUCCGGUGAAGCUGCCGAGUGAUCGUGUGGUGGAGGGUGUGCGAGUGAGAAUGCAGGCAUGAGUAGCGAAAGCAGCGUGAGAAACGUUGCCGCCGAUUGACUAAGGGUUCCUGGGGCAGGUUAAUCCGCCCAGGGUGAGUCUGGACCUAAGGCGAGGCCGACAGGCGUAGUCGAUGGAUAACGGGUUGAUAUUCCCGUACCCGUGCGCGAGCGUCCAGUAUCGAGGCGACGGAUGCUAACCAUGCUGGUGCCUUGGGGUCCCUUCGGGGAGCCUGGGGUUUUGGUGUGGGAACCGAUGUUGUAGUAGGUAAGUGAUGGGGUGACGCAGGAGGGUAGCUCUACCCGGCGGUGGUUGUCCGGGGGUAAGCGUGUAGGCUGGUGUGUUGGUAAAUCCGCACACUGUGUGGCUGAGACGUGAUGCCGAGCCGUUUUUGGUGAAGUGAGUGAUCCCAUGCUGUCGAGAAAAGCCUCUAGCGAGUUCGUGUGUGGCCAGUACCCUAAACCGACGCAGGUGGUCAGGUAGAGAAUACCGAGGCGUUCGGGUGAACCAUGGUUAAGGAACUCGGCAAAUUGUCCCCGUAACUUUGGGAGAAGGGGAGCCCUGUCUGGUGAUGGCCUUUGCGGUCGGAGCUGGGUGGGGUCGCAGAUAGCGGGGGGAAGCGACUGUUUAUUAAAAACACAGGUCCGUGCGAAGUCGUAAGACGCUGUAUACGGACUGACGCCUGCCCGGUGCUGGAACGUUAAGAGGACUGGUUAGUGGGGGUUUGUCCCUUGCGAAGCUGGGAAUCUAAGCGCCAGUAAACGGCGGUGGUAACUAUAACCAUCCUAAGGUAGCGAAAUUCCUUGUCGGGUAAGUUCCGACCUGCACGAAUGGCGUAACGACUUCCCCACUGUCUCAACCAUGGGCCCGGUGAAAUUGCACUACGAGUAAAGAUGCUCGUUUCGCGCAGCAGGACGGAAAGACCCCGGGACCUUCACUAUAGCUUGACAUUGGUGUUUGGGAUGGUUUGUGUAGGAUAGGUGGGAGCCGGUGAAGCUGUCACGCUAGUGGCGGUGGAGGCGUUGGUGAAAUACCACUCUGACUGUUUCGGGCAUCUAACUUUGGGCCGUGAUCCGGUUCGGGGACAGUGUCUGGUGGGUAGUUUAACUGGGGCG